rnacentral:piRNA from 1 species
UNCUAGAAAAGCUUAUGCCUUCCCCUCU